UACCUUUUUAUUGGAACCCACAGGAAGAAAUACGUGUCACAUUAGGACCCAGUGCACGCACUUGCACACGUGGAUGUAUGGUUUCCUGAUACAUCUUCACUAUAUGGAAGGAAGAAAGGAUGGAGUUUGAACUGAUUUGCCAGGAAUCAUGUUCCGAAUGGAUCCAGGAUAUUGAAGUGUAAAAGAGCAGGAAACAGCCUUGAGUCUUGGGAGACUUCUGGGCUUUGCGCUUGGCACUGACUCCUCCACAGAAGCAAGGGGUGCAUCUGGCUGUUAGAAGAAUUAAUGGGCAUCCAGUGCCUUGAUUUUCCCACUGAGAAAAAUGAGGAGGCUGCGAUAUACCUGGGGACAGGAUCAGUAGCUUCACUUCUCACCUCAGAACUUGCCAUGUCUCUUUCCGGCUCGGGAAGUAUGAUGCUCCGCACAGACAGGCAUCUACGUGCGAGAAAGUUAAUGGCGCAGAAUGCUGCUGACUGCGUGGUUCUCGUCUUAAUACAUUUUCCAACCUUGAACCUGAGAAUGCCAGAGGCUCAAGUCUCUGAACGCUCGUCUGAGCCGUUAUCUGCUGGUGGCCUGGUUCCUGACCUAACAAGUGGCUGUCCCAGGCGUGCGUGUGGUAAUAGCAGCAGUGGUGCCACGUGGCGCCCAGAGGUCGCCUUGGUCUGCCCUGGAGAUUCCUGGUCCUUGGUGAAGCUUCUGAGUUGAACUGUGAACUUGGGGCAUCCUGAGAAGCGCAGGCAUUUUGGAGUUCCACAGCAAACCUGGAUGUUAAGUGUAAACACAGCUUAUAAAGUGAAAGCAGGGGCCUUGAGGAAGGGAACCCUCAUCUGGAUCGGGACCUGCUUACUGUGCUGGAAAACAAAAGAUACACAUCCAUAUACUUGCCUGAACGUGUGAGUCCUUGGAAUUACGGAUUCGUUGCCGGUAGCUGGUGAUCUCCUACGCAGAAGGUCGCUAACUACAAGAAAUGUUACGUGCGGUGAGUAGGUGGUAGAUUCUGAAGAUUAUUGCUAACCCCAUGCUCGUCCUCUUGAGUCAUGGAUUCAGAGGACUGCUAGCAAGCUCUUAAAUACUUCUGCUUUGUAUGAUUUAAUGGAUGGAGCUGCUGGACUCAUGGAAGCCUGUGAAAAGUUUUUCAGAGCAUGGGUUAAUUGCAUAAUCAUUGAAUCUUUUGAAUAUAUUAGUCCUUUGGAGGGAGAAAAGAUGUUUUACAGAAGGAAGCAGUUUGUGGGGGGCUUUUAGAGAUGCAGUUACUUCUCUUCUGUGUUUUAAGUAUCACUCCAUCUUCUUGUGUGAAAGAAAGAAAUGACUACACGGUUUCAACAGAGAAAAAGUUACGCCAACUCUUUUUAAGUGAAGAAAUUUCAUCCACGUGUUACUCCUAACUGGAUUUUUGUCCUCCUGACUAUUCACAAGGGGAAACUACCCCAUGAAAAAGACUGACCUUCUGGCAGUAUCUGCGAUGUGUCUCACCCAAAACCCGGUGGGCUUUCCAUGGAUUAUUGGCAGCACUUUUAUCGAGGGGGCAAAGAGAGGGAAUCCAGUUACUGGAAACAGUGAGUGCAGCUUCAGAAAUUGUUCUCUCUCCUGAGCGGAGAAGUUGUUUGACCUACUGACUCAUUUCAUAGGAAUUGGGGAAAACAACCUAGUGUGGUUUUCAUUGUUAGUCCUGGAGGAUUCCAAAGUCUGUGUGUCUGCAAAUAAGAUGAGCUGGAGAAAGGUAGUGUUGCCCCUUGCUGUUUCUACUUGCUUGUUCUCCUGAUGGAAUUCAAUCCCUUGCUUCCAGGACAAGUCUAGCCUGUGCUUGGAGAUCCUUUGUGUGGCUGUUCAGUGGUGCUGACCUUCUGAACCAAUGCCCCCUGAGGACUUCUGUGCCUGGAAAAUAUCUGCCUACAGAUUUCUUUGACACCCUAUGUGCCGCUUCUGCUGUUCGGGACCAAAGCUGGUUUCAGUGGUUUGCUCAUGUGCUUAUUGACGAAACCCUGCACCUCAGAGCCCGUUUAUGUUCAGAGGUCCACAUGGCCAUGUGAAGAUUGGCCGUUACAGUAUCUGUAAAGCACCAAGCAGCAAAGAAUGGAAAGACACCUGCCACGUUGGGAUCUGCCCAAUGGAGAGGCACAUCUGGCAAGGAAUUGAUGGCUUCAGACAGUAGCUCAUGAGGACCCGAGGCCUUCCAAGAGCCACAUGAGUCAACUUGAAAAUGAAUCCCCCUGCAACCAGCCUGGGGAUGACUGCAACUGCAGCCAAACCCUUGACUGUAGCCUAUGAGAGACCCUGAGCCAGAGGACCCAGUUAAAAUGUGCCCGGAUUCCUGACCCACAGAAAUUGUGACAUAAUACAUGUUUGUUGUUUUAAGCCACUACAUUUUGGGGUUAUUUGUUAUGCAGCAGUAGAUAACUAUACAACUCAAAGUACUCAUGUCUAGACUCAAACUUUCUGCUUACAGUACCUAACUUUUUAGAUAAACUUUUUGUUGGAAUAACUUUAAAGAAAAGAUGUACAAAGAACACCCUCUGUUACAUUGUAUGUAAUCAUGGUACAUUGUCAGUACUAACAAACCAACAUUGGUACCUUAUUGUUAACUAAAUUUCAGGCUUGAUUCACAUCUCACUAGUUUUUCCACUAAGGUCCUUUUUCUAUUCCAGGAUUGGGGUCAUAUUUGUAAUAGCCUAAUAGAUAUCACACCCGAUAACUCUUUGUGUAGAGAAAGAGAGAUGAAAUAUACAUGUGUUUGCUAAAAUUUGGGAGACCUACCCAUAGAUAAGAAAAGAAUAUUACCAAAGUCUUUAAUCAGGGAUCUUCUUUAUAAUUAUUUGGAAAAAUAACCAUUACAUUACUUAGCUGAAAACUAUUAUGUGAAGUUACUGAGGGGAGAGGUGGGAGUGGCUCCAGGUAAUAACUGAUAAGGCCCUAACAAGUCAGAAAUACUUUAAAAAAAUAAAAUAUACCUUUCUAAAAAGCAAUAAUAUUUUAAUAAACUAAAACUUUUAGAGUUUUCAUUUAUUAAUAAGCAUGUCAAAUACUACAAGAUUCACCAAUGUUUCAUUUGCCUUAUGAUGUUGGUAUAAAUUAAUUUUUAUUUAUAUAAUAUGCAAAUACCUAAUUUGCUUGUAACUAUUUAAAUGGCAACUAUUCAACUAAAAGUACUAAUCUGCGUUUUUCUUCAUUCCUGUGCAGUGUGAUACUGGCAAGUCACUUGGUCUUUCUGGGUUUUUCUUUGGAAUGAAUUUAUAUUGCUAGAAUUUUACCACAAAUCAGUCAUGCACUACAACCACUUAGUAGCUGUAAACAUUUUGCAAACAAAACUCUGUGUACAAAGUUUAAUAAAACUAACCACUCUCUAAUUGCUUAAACAUUUAGCUGCAUUAUUUUGCAGCAUUGUUCCAAGUGAUUCGUAAAGAACAAUCCACAUAAAAGUAAAACUUUUAGGAAAGAAUGAGUGAUGUUACUUAAAGGAGAAAAGACACCCCAUUUUUACAUACACUCUCGUGGUUGAGUUUUUUUAGUAGGGUGUAUAAACGAGGACAUCAAGUGACUUAGGAGAAAAUAACAAGCACAGCGACGCUUUGGAUAGAUCCUAAAAAGCUAUUAAGUGAGAUAGGAUUUUUCAGAUCUUGGCGACCUACCAAAAACCCAAAUAAACAAACCACUAAAAAAUAACAACAGAAACAAAUUUGAACUCUGAAAAUAAUGCACUCAUGAGACCCCAAGUCUUAGUGGCCAAGGUUUGUUUCUUGGCUUGUCUCUUAAGGAUCAAGGUCUUCUUUGUGGCCAGAAUGACUUACCUGAUUUUCAGUAAUUGACUAUUGAAUAAAACAGACAAUAGAAGAUGUUGCAGAAGGACGGGAUGCCAAAGAAUGAGAAAUAAAUACGAUUGGGAAAAAAGGGAGCAGAAUACAGUGUAACCUCAUUCACAAGCCGUCACUUCCCAGAACUCUGAAUUCAUUAAGUUUUCCGCACUUCUCUACUCUGAAAGUGUCAGAUGACAAGAAAGCAAGCUGUUAAGUUUACUGAAGAACUGCAUGCAUAAAUAUUUCUAAUAUUAUAUUUUGAGGUUAGUACAUAAUUCAUUUCUGUCUAAUGUGCCUACAGUAUAAUCUUGGCUAUGCAGGGUUAUGACUGAUCCUCAGAAACCGUGGAAACCAUAAAUCAUCGAAGGCUUCAAUCAUAUUCAUCAUCCUAUGCUUACUAAAGCCAGAAGGAUGUAGAAAUAUGUUGCAGAGACUUUGUAAACAACUCUCAUUUAGCCA